AACCUGUCGCAGCGCCUUUGGGAAGCCUGGUUUAUGGUACCUGAAGGGCGCUGGCGUUACAAGGCCCCGAAACGGGGGUUGCAGUUGUGGGGGUGACUAACGAGGCUGGCUCUUGCUCUUCUGGCGUUCCCUGAGGUCGGAACCAGGAACGAGGUUCCAAAUAGCUGAAUUCAACGUGUUCUGUUCUGGGGACUGGCAGUGCACAAGCAAGUCGCUGGCCCCACCCGUAUGCAGCAUAAGGAAAUGUUGAAAAGACUGCCCGGGUCAAUAAACCUGGACGUGGCAAAUUUCAAAGAAAGUAAUUCAAACACAGGUGGGGUCCUGGCUUAUAUCUAUUGGAUUUGGCUGCCAUUUGGCAGCUGCUCGUUGGACAGGGAGAGACCAGGAGGUGACUCAGAGCCUGGAGGACAGCAGACUGCACAAACCAUGAUAAUGACCAGCAAGGAUGGAGGGAGCGUAUGAGAUGUGCCGGGCAGUGUGCUACGUCUCAGCCAACUCUAGGAGGAACUUACUUAGAAAGAGAUUCCCCACAGCAAGAUGAUAACACUGUCCUUCUAUUUUCUUCUGUAUACGGUUGGUUGGUUUGUCUGUUUGAAGAGAUGGGGUCCCACUCUGCCCCAGGCUUCAGAGGUGUGAUCCUAGCUCACUACAGCCUACAACUUCUGUGCUCAAGCGGGGGACCCUCCCACCUCAGCCUCCCGAGUAGCUGGGACUACUGGCAUGUACCACCAUGCCUGGCUAAUUUUUAUUUAUUUAUUUAUUUUUGUAGAGAUUUUUUUUGCCACUGUUUUGCCCAGGUUUGUCUCAAACUCCUGACCUCAAGCGAUCCUCCUGCCUCUUGGCCUCCCAAAGUGUUGGAUUAUAGGUGUAAGCCAGUAGUCACCGCUGUACAUGUAUUUUUAUAUAAAGUGUAA
rnacentral:lncRNA from 1 species